CUCUGCUGCCCGAAACAAGCGCGUGGAAAGCUUGGUCGGGGCUUCUCACAGCCGCGCGCACAGACUGGUUCUCCCCCCGCGUCUCCCGGGAGCGUCGCCGCCACCUGCACGCGUCCGGCACACAAACGUCGGUCUCACCCCUUAGUUUCUGGAAGAGAAAAAGGAAAAGCCACCGAGAGGCCUGACCCUGAGGGGUCGGGGGGAGAUGCGGGCGCGUAGUAGAGGGAAGCGACUGAGGAGCGGGGACUGGGCAGCAUUUGAAUGGAUGCGGGUGCCGCUGGCACCCGGGAAGACGCCUGGGAGCCGGCGCUGGGGAGCCGGGCAUGGGCUGGGAUGUGUUUGGAUUCCAAUCUGGGCCUGACACCAGUUCAGUGACCUCGGGAAGUUCCCCAACCCUGCGGGCCUGUUUCCUCCCUCUGAAGUGGCGACAGUAAUAGAACCGACCUCGUAGGCUCAUCGGGAGGUCCUGAUGGGAGAACCCAUGCAACUUGCCACCACAGAGCCAGGCCCGCGGCGACUGGCUCCUGGUGGGUAUUAAAGACGAGUCGGGAAAGAAGAGCAGGAGACCUCUGGGAAGAUACCUUGAUUCCAAAGAGUGAAUUUAUUGGAUGGCAGGCAGUGAGUCCUGUGGGUGAUGAGCCAGGUGGGUCUCUCCUUUACUCCUGGAUCUUACAGCAGUAGAAACACAGAACUUUUCGACUUUCUGAGCAGAAAGAGGCUGAGUUGGCUGCCUGUUUCAGUAGGAGCCCAGAGGCUUUGUCUAAGGCCCUGGUGAUGUCCCUUUCCUAUCAUGGGUUUAAGAAG
rnacentral:lncRNA from 1 species